AACGAACGCUGGCGGCAGGCUUAACACAUGCAAGUCGAACGCGUGUAGCAAUACACGAGUGGCGCACGGGUGAGUAACGCGUGGAUAUCUGCCUUUUGGUUCGGAAUAACCCCGGGAAACUGGGGCUAAUACCGGAUGGUUCCUUCGGGAUAAAGAUUUAUCGCCAAAAGAUGAGUCCGCGUCCGAUUAGCUAGUUGGUGAGGUAAUGGCUCACCAAGGCGACGAUCGGUAGCUGGUCUGAGAGGACGAUCAGCCACACUGGGACUGAGACACGGCCCAGACUCCUACGGGAGGCAGCAGUGGGGAAUAUUGGACAAUGGGGGCGACCCUGAUCCAGCCAUGCCGCGUGAGUGAUGAAGGCCUUCGGGUUGUAAAGCUCUUUUGGCGGGGACGAUGAUGACGGUACCCGCAGAAUAAGCCCCGGCUAACUUCGUGCCAGCAGCCGCGGUAAUAC
rnacentral:rRNA from 1 species